rnacentral:snRNA from 1 species
GGAUGUGAGGGCGAUCUGGCUGCGACAUCUGUCACUCCAUUGAUUGCCAGGGUUGAUUCAGUUGAUCUGGUUGGCCAGGUGGGUGUCCCCUUCCUCCCUCACCACUACACCUGUGUCCCUCCUGAAGCUGCACACUCCAUCGAAGAGGAUGACCAUCCCUGAUAGAGGAGGACCGUUCUUCAGUCAAGGGUAUAUGAGUAGCUGUGCUCCCCAGUUAGAACUUCCAAAAAACCUGUCAAGAAGACUAGUAAACAAGGUCUAGGGGAAAAGUAAACAUCAGGGAAAAAAAUGACUGGAAACCUUGCAU